rnacentral:rRNA from 1 species
UUAGUAGCGGCGAGUGAAGCGGCAAAAGCUCAAAUUUGAAAUCUGGCUCUUUCAGAGUCCGAGUUGUAAUUUGAAGAAGGUAUCUUUGGGUCUGGCUCUUGUCUAUGUUUCUUGGAACAGAACGUCACAGAGGGUGAGAAUCCCGUGCGAUGAGAUGAUCCAGGCCUAUGUAAAGUUCCUUCGAAGAGUCGAGUUGUUUGGGAAUGCAGCUCUAAGUGGGUGGUAAAUUCCAUCUAAAGCUAAAUAUUGGCGAGAGACCGAUAGCGAACAAGUACAGUGAUGGAAAGAUGAAAAGAACUUUGAAAAGAGAGUGAAAAAGUACGUGAAAUUGUUGAAAGGGAAGGGCUUGAGAUCAGACUUGGUAUUUUGUAUGUUACUUCUUCGGGGGUGGCCUCUACAGUUUAUCGGGCCAGCAUCAGUUUGGGCGGUAGGAGAAUUGCGUUGGAAUGUGGCACGGCUUCGGUUGUGUGUUAUAGCCUUCGUCGAUACUGCCAGCCUAGACUGAGGACUGCGGUUUAUACCUAGGAUGUUGGCAUAAUGAUCUUAAGUCGCCCGUCUUGAAACACGGACCAAGGAGUCUAACGUCUAUGCGAGUGUUUGGGUGUAAAACCCGUACGCGUAAUGAAAGUGAACGUAGGUGGGGGCCCGUAUGGGUGCACCAUCGACCGAUCCUGAUGUCUUCGGAUGGAUUUGAGUAAGAGCAUAGCUGUUGGGACCCGAAAGAUGGUGAACUAUGCCUGAAUAGGGUGAAGCCAGAGGAAACUCUGGUGGAGGCUCGUAGCGGUUCUGACGUGCAAAUCGAUCGUCGAAUUUGGGUAUAGGGCGAA